GAUGCUUCAUGUCCAAAAGAGGGUAUAAAUGGUACAAAAUAAUUAUAACCACCGUUACCUGCAUUAAAACAAAAGAUCAGAAAUUGGGAAUGAAGGUCUAGAAAUUACACGUAUGCAUGAAUAAGAAUGAUCCAGGUGUGUAAAUUCUUGGUCCACAUGGGAAAUUUCAUUAUAUAGAAAUGUCUUGCCAAACCAAAUGCCAAAUAAAACAAAAGGAAUAAAAGAAUCCAACAAAACUAAUUUAAAGGACAAAAAAUUCACGAACGAAGUUUGACCAAGAACCUAGAAAGAAAAAAAAAAAAAAAAAAAAACAAGAUAAGAAAAAGGUUUAAGCACGGGGGAUGGCACAAGAGACUAAACAAUAAGUUCACAAAGAAUAUAUCUAAUUGCCCAUUCUCUGUUUAUUUGUGGUCACUUUUUUCACUGUCAAAGACAUACUUCCAAACCUCAACAUACCUAUAUAGAUUCUUAAUUACCCCUCAAGUGUCCAUGUAAAAUAGAUGUAUAUAUACAACUUUGUAUGUUCAAGGUUCUUUUCUUCUGUAAACAGAGAUUCUAAGUAUACAACACUAAGAUAAUGCAUCUAAUUAAGUACUACCAUUGCAUGUGAAAUUUUUCUUUUUUCCAUACAAACAUUGCACUAUUUCCUCAAACAAUCCAAUCAAUGUUUUUUUAUAUCCCUGUUGUAGCUGUGUGUAAUUAAAUGUGCAUGUCAUUAAUUUUUUUGGUACUUAUUAGUGUUUUCUCAAACCCCGUACAGCUCUACCAAAACCAUCCACUAACUCUUUUAAUUUCGUAGCCUCAACCCAUAUCGAUUUUGAAAAGAAGAAAUUUAUCUCAACUAUGAUUUUAGAAUAACCAAUAACCAAAUUAACUUGACGCAAACAUCGAUCAAUGAACCAAAAAUACAUUUUAAUUCAAUUUCAAUCACAAGUACACCAACACUUCAAGGAGAAAAAAAAGGAAAAAAAGGAAAAGAAGAGUAACUGAGAGCAUGAAUCUUGCAAAUUUGUUAAACUUGUUUUAGCAAAUGGUGAGAGUAAAAUAAGGUGAACUUGCGCAUCCACCAAAAACAAAAGCUUGGGACUUGCUUGUUAACCAAAAAGCCCAAAUUAUCCCAGAGCUUAAGCCAACAAUUCUUUCAUUGCCAAGGCAAAUGAUAUGCAUGUGCUGAAAUGAAGCUUGUUAUUUAUAAGCCCUCAUUUGCCUUUGGUGGCUGGGAGAGUCUUGUCGAUUUCCAACACUUUUUAAUAAAUAUAUCGAAACUUGCUGGCCCAUGUCUAAAUUAUAGCUCGUAUUACCACAAGUAGGAGACAACCUCUCAGGUUAAACACUUGAAUAUAAAAUAUAUCAACUGGUUAAUUUACUUUAGAAUUGCAGUAAAAAAACUUUAGAAUGAUGACUUCCAUAUAAAUAAAUAAAUAAUAAAUAAAAAAGGGAGCUGAUUUUUCUCAUUUUAUUUUUGUCCACUUACCCUCCCCUUUGUUUUUUAAUACUUUUUAAUCAAUUUUGUUUCUUUUUGUUCUUUCUCUUUCGUAUUCUACCC
rnacentral:lncRNA from 1 species